UGAGUUCAGCUAGGGUGUACUGGAGC
rnacentral:piRNA from 1 species